UCAAAGACAAUCCAAGGUCUCAUAGGCUGCCCAAAGAUAUGCAGCUGAUUUUCUCUCACUUUGAAUUUGAGUGUUUGCCAAUGUAUUUUUAUAUGCAAUGCUGCUUUUGUUGGGUGAUUUGGUGUGAUGGGGCAAGAGACGAGAAGCAGAUUUUUUUUUAGGGGUCUGAGCAACAUGGUCUGAGUGAGCCAAACAAGCAAGAUGUUGAGGAAAAACCUGACUUAGAAAUUAAAGUGAAUACCUUGCAGAUUCAUCUUGCCACUUGUUUCAAAGGACCUGCAUGUUGAUUACAUCCAUACUGCACCUCAGGACAUGAUCCACAGUUACCAGUCAUAUGCACUCUUUACAUGGUGGUGUAUGGAGUGUCUGCAUUCUCUAGACACAAAGCGUCACAAAUUGCACAUGGCAAGCUGGACAGACUGCAGCAUAUUUAUGCCUGCCCACACUUGCUCCUAUGUUCGUGACCUAACUAUUCUGAAACUGAUCCACAUGAGGUACAAGGAAGAGGAAAAUCAUCCAAGCAAUUCUAUUGUUACUCCAAGGAACAAGCCAACUUGAAAGUACAUCUGCAACAUUAUUGACUGAGAGCUGGGACAUCUGCUGUAGCAGAUUAAAUGGAAUCAUGUCAAGCUGCAGUCACUAAACCAGAGAAUUUUUUUUUUACAUUUUUGUGAUAUAGAUUAGCAAUACAGAUUGGAAAUAAAAAGGGUGAUUUUCCUCACCCACCUGUUCAGUGUAAUUGGGCAGUGCACUAUUAGACUUCAACUGAACCCAUUGUGUUUUUGUCUUCAACUAUUUCAGA